UCCAUUAAUUGAUUUAAUGUCUCAGAUACAAGUUAUAAAUGAAGAGAUAAGGCUGAUACAAAGGGGAUUUCGAAAUGGGACUCAAAGCAUGUGAAGUCAAGGCUAGCUGGCUGCUGAGAGGCUUCACAUGCUUGGACAGGCUGUAAAGUAGCUUUACCUUUCCAACUAUGACCAGACCUUAUCCAAACAGCUCCUCCCUUAUCCAUACUCCUCUUGGGCGUGCUUCUCCUCACCAAAGUGAUCCAAGGUAACUUCCUAAGCCUUUAACUUAGUUACCACAGUAAAACUAAAGUUACUGUGGUAAAACUCCAAAGUUACCAUCUGCCCCAAUACUCUUCCUCUAUCCAUGUAUCAACUCUUCAUCACCUCAUCUCAACACUCCCCCUCAAGCUUGACCAUGUAGAACAAGUCAAGCUUGGAAACCAUGAAGACCUCCCUCAUUAAAAACCUCACCAAGGAAAACCCAAUGGGAUAAAACCUUGAUGAGGGAAAAAGAGUGGAGACUCCAUGGUUAAGGGGCUCAGCUCCUAGGAGUAAGAUCAAUGAGUCCAAGUCUUGAUAGUAUGGACUCCAUUGUCUUUAAUCUCGCUGCCUUAGUAAACACAUCUGCAAGCUGAUCUUCACUUCUUGUAUAACAUGGCAAUAUCACUCCAAGUAUAAUCAUCUGCCUCACCUUGUGGCAAUCAACUUCUAUAUGCUUCGUCCUCUCAUGAAAGACUGAGUUAGAAGCAAUGUGGAUAGCUGCUUGAUUGUCACAAUGCAUUGUCAUAGGAGUACUCUGCUCAAUCUCCAAAUGCUUCAAGAUCCCCUUGAUCCACACCAACUCGUUUGUCAGCUUCAACAUGGCUCUAUACUCAGCUUCAGCACUUGAACAGGAGAUAACCUUCUGCUUCUUACUCUUCCAAGUGACCAAGUUCCCUCCAAUGAAUGUACAAUACCCAGUAGUUGAUCUCCUGUCCACUCUAUCUCCUGCCCAAUCAGCAUCACAAUAUCCAACCACUUCUGUACUGCCAUUACAACCCAUCCAAACUCCUUGACCAGACGUGCCACUCAAAUACCUCAGUAUCCUAUCAACCAUCUUCCAAUGAUGAACCUUUGGUGCCUGCAUAUGCUGGCUCACUUGAUUCACUGCAAAGCAUAUAUCAGGUCUUGUAAUCGUCAAGUAGAUCAGCUUUCCAACCAUCCUCCUAUACAGCUUAGCAUCCUCAAACAACUGGUUCUCUUCAACCUCCCCCUCACGCAAGACCUUAUACCCCUCCUCAAGAGGUGUCUUAGCUAUCUUUCCUCCAAGCACAUCAGUUUCCUUCAGCAUAUCCAUUGCAUACUUCCUUUGAGACAUGAACAAACCCUCCUUUGAUCUGCAUAUCUCAAUCCCCAAGAAAUACUUCAUCUCUCCCAAGUCUUUGAUAUCAAAUACUGACCUGAGAAACUCUUUAGUGGCUUUAAUCCCAGCCUUAUCACUUCCUGUGAUAAUCAAAUCAUCCACAUACACUAGAAUCACAAUGAUCCCUGAUGGUCCGACCAGUGUGAAGAGUGUGUGAUCUAGUUCAGACUUCCUGAACCCUCUCCCAUUGAGUGUUGUACUCAGCUUCCUGUACCAGGCUCUAGGAGAUUGCUUCAACCCAUAUAUAGCUUUCUUCAAUCUCAAAACAUUUCCUGGCUUCACUAGAUGCUCAAGACCAGGAGGAGGAAGCAUAUAUACCUCAUCUUCUAGCUCACCUUGCAGGAAAGCAUUCUUCACAUCCAUCUGCCACAAAUCCCACUCCAAGUUUGUUGCAAUGGAUAACACAAUUCGAAUUGUGUGAAGCUUGGCCACUGGUGCAAAAGUAUCAAUGUAAUCUUCUCCAUAAGUCUGUGUAAAUCCUCUUGCAACCAGCCUGGUCUUGUGCCUAUCUAUCUCCCCAUUUGCAAGAUAUUUGAUGGUGAAGAUCCAUCUGCUUGAAACUGCCUUCUUCCCUCUAGGUAACUCACUCUCAUACCAAGUGUCAUUCCUGAUCAUUGCAUCCCUUUCAUCUCCUACUGAAUCUCUCCAAACCUUGUGCUUCAUAGCUUCUUCAUAAGAUCUUGGUAUCUCACUCUCAUCCAAGUUACACAUAAACACCAUGUGCUCUUCUGGAUAUUCUGCAAAGGAACACACGGCUUGAGAAGGAUGCUCCACAGCCUGAGCAUUGUAGUACACUCUCGUGUUUACCCAGUUGGAAGCAUCCCUCUUUAUCCUUGUGCUUCUCCGCAAAACCUGAACUUGUUCUUCUUCUUGUGCUUCUUGCUGCACACCUUCACUAGACUGAGCUCCACUCUCCUCUGAACCAGUAGACUGAUCCACACUCUCAUCUGAACCAGUAGACUGAGCCACACUCUCCCCUGAACCAGGAGACUCUCCUUGCCCAUCUCCACUAGACUGAGCACCAUCCUCUUGAUUAUGAUGAUCUGAAUCUUCUUGGUUUUGCUCUUGCUCACCUGAUUCAGAUCCAUUCCCCCUCUCAUGAUCAAGAGGAGUUGUCCUUCCAGCUUCUCCAGCCUGAUUAGAAGGCUCUCUCCUUCCUUGUUCCUGAUCCUGGGAUAAACCUAUCCCUAGCUUCUCCAACAACACUCUCAGUAUUGUUGCCUUAUUAGAGGGAGCUUGAGAUAAAUCCUUCAGAUCCUCCCACUUCUUUUCUUCAUAAUACCCUUUUGUUUCUACAAACUUCACUUCUCUAGAUACCAUCACCCUCCUUGCUUCAGGAUCAUAGCACUUGUACCCCUUUUGAGUGAUAGAGUAACCAAUGAACAUAGCCUUAGUACUCUUUGCCUCCAGCUUGUUUCUCUGCUCUCCUGGAACCAUGACAUAGCACACACACCCAAAGACACGUAGGUGAUCAAUGAAAGGUUUGCUCUUGUUCAACACUUCAAAUGGAGACAGAUUCUUCAAUAUCUUGGUUGGAACCCGGUUGAUGAGAUAGCAAGCAGUCUGCACAGCAUCACUCCAAAAACGUUUUGGGACAUUUGCAUGAAACAUCAUUGAUCUAGCAACCUCCAUCAAGUGCCUGUUCUUCCUCUCAGCUACACCAUUCUGUUGUGGUGUAUAAGGGCAGCUAGUCUGAUGCACAAUCCCAUGCUUGGCUAGAUGACUCUUGAAGGCAUUACUGAUGUAUUCACCUCCAUUGUCUGAUCUCAGUACCUUCACAGUAGCAUUGUACUGAUUAGUAACAUAAGCUUGGAAGUUUAUAAAAGCUUCUAACACCCUAUCUUUAGAUGGAAGCAAUGUGAGCCAAGUAUACUUUGACUUCUCAUCAAUGAAUGUCACAAAGUAUUUUUGACUGUCCCUAGACACACAUGGAGAUGUCCACACAUCCGAGUGGAUCAAUUCAAAACAAUGCUCAUAAGUAGUCUCAGAAGUUGGGAACACAGUCCUACAAUGCUUUCCUAAUAUGCAAGCCUCACACUCUAAGUGAUUAAAUGACAUAUUAGGCAUGAUCAAUUCAAUUGCACGAGCAUGAGGAUGUCCCAAUCUAGCAUGCCAAGUCAUACUAUCACACCUAUCAACAGCACUACUUAAGCACACAGAAUCAAAGGGUUUAGAAUUCUUAGCCAUUUGAAGAUGGUAUAGCUGAUUCUUGCUGUCCCCUCUGCCAAUAACUCUCCCAGUCUUCAAAUCUUGAAACUCCACUUCAUCAGGUCUGAAUACUACUUGACAAUCAAGAUCAAUGGUAGCUUUCUUCACAGAUAACAGAUUUGAAGUGAACCGGGGCAUGUAGAAGGCAGUUGUGUCCUUCUCAAACAGUUUGAGCUUUCCCACUCCUUCUAUUGGGAUCAUAGCACCAUUAGCUAUCAUAACACUCCCUGUUGCAGCCUUGAUCUCACUUAUAAGUCUCCUAUCACUGAUCAUAUGAUGGCUUGCUCCAGAAUCAAUCACAAUGGGUUUAGGAGCUCCGAUUGUACACCAUGUUUCUUGCUUGCUGCUAAAGCUUGUACAUGUUCCAUGAACACUCUCCACUCCUUCCUGGUGAUGCAAUCAUCAGCUCCACCCUCUUUCUCUCCUGCUCUCUUAACACCACACUGUCUUCUACUGAUUCACCCAUGUAGGCUGAGUAAGAACACUCUCCUCUCACUACUAGUUGCGCAGCCUCCUUGAUCAUCUUCAAGCUCAUCUUGUCACUCAGAUAACCAGACUCACUGUCCUUCCUCCAAGCCUUUCUCCUCAUGAACCAUACUUUGGAAAGCUUUCUCAACCUUCCCUUCUUACAGUUUGUCACACCCUUCCACUGAAUUGACUUCUUGUUCUUCUCACACACAUCACAAAUGUAUUGAACAAGCUCACACAUCUCAUUCACAAGAAAGUUAAAGAUAACAUCUUGUUCUCUCCUUUCUUGCAUUACCUCUGGCCUUGCUGUAAGCUCCAGCCACACUUCUUUCAGCCUUCCCACAAGCUGAUAAAGCUCAUCCUUUCCUUGUUUCCAGUCACAGAUCACUCUCUUGUCCUCACUGCCCUUCACAGGUUUGGACCUUUCUUCACUAGCUGCUUCAAUCCCACUCUUUCUAGUGAUCUCUUGAACAGCUUCAUCUUCAAAAAUAACCAACUCCUUUAAAGGUUCUUCCUUUAUCUGAUUACUCCAAAUCCCACAGCUUCCAAAAACUGUUUUCACCCAAUCUGACCAGAUCCACUCGUUUUCUCUCCCUUUCUUCACUUGAUAACUUGAUCUUGUCUUCAUCUCUCUGCAAAGUCGUUUGAUUCCAUCAGAUGCCCUCAAUCAAACCCAUCAGAUGAAGAACAUAGCUCAAAAACCACCAAGAACACUCAAGAACACCAAGAACAGCUCAAGAACACAAACCCAGAUUUUUAAAAACAAGAAUAACACACUCCCACCCUUUUAGUAACCUGGCUCUGAUACCAUAUACACUUUUGUGUAUUAGAGUGUGUUUAAGAACAAUCAGAUUGUUUUGUGUAAGAUUAAAGAGAUUAAGAGAAUAAGUAGAGAGAGAAUAGAGAGAAUACUCAAAACUCCAUUAAUUGAUUUAAUGUCUCAGAUACAAGUUAUAAAUGAAGAGAUAAGGCUGAUACAAAGGGGAUUUCGAAAUGGGACUCAAAGCAUGUGAAGUCAAGGCUAGCUGGCUGCUGAGAGGCUUCACAUGCUUGGACAGGCUGUAAAGUAGCUUUACCUUUCCAACUAUGACCAGACCUUAUCCAAACAGCUCCUCCCUUAUCCAUACUCCUCUUGGGCGUGCUUCUCCUCACCAAAGUGAUCCAGGUAACUUCCUAAGCCUUUAACUUAGUUACCACAGUAAAACUAAAGUUACUGUGGUAAAACUCCAAAGUUACCAUCUGCCC
rnacentral:lncRNA from 1 species